rnacentral:rRNA from 1 species
UUGUAAUUUGGAGAAGGUGCUUCGGGCGCGGCGACGGUCCAAGUCCCUUGGAACGGGGCGUCAUAGAGGGUGAGAGCCCCGUACGCGGCCGCCCGCCAACCCCGUGUGAAGCCCUUUCGACGAGUCGAGUUGUUUGGGAAUGCAGCUCAAAAUGGGUGGUAAAUUUCAUCUAAAGCUAAAUACCCGCCAGAGACCGAUAGCGCACAAGUAGAGUGAUCGAAAGAUGAAAAGCACUUUGGAAAGAGAGUGAAACAGUACGUGAAAUUGUUGAAAGGGAAGCGCUUGCAACCAGACUCGCUCGCGGGCGUUCAGCCGCCCCCCGGGGUGGUGUACUCGCCCGCGGUCGGGCCAGCAUCGAUUCUGGCGGCCGGACAAAGGUCCCGGGAACGUGGCUCUCCUCGGGGAGCGUUAUAGCCCGGGGCGCAAUGCGGCCAGCCGGGAUCGAGGACCGCGCUUUUUGCUAGGAUGCUGGCGUAAUGGUUGCCAGCGACCCGUCUUGAAACACGGACCAAGGAGUCGACCGACCGCGCGAGUGUUUGGGCGUCAAACCCAUGCGCGAAAUGAAAGUGAACGGAGGUGGGAGCCCCCGGGCGCACCAUCGACCGAUCCUGAUGUCUUCGGAUGGAUUUGAGUAUGAGCGUGGGCGGUCGGACCCGAAAGGUGAGCCCCUAAUCAAUUCCCCUCGCUGUAAAUUAUCAACUAACUUUUUUUCCAGACAGUGAGCUAUGCGUGAAUAGGGUGAAGCCAGAGGAAACUCUGGUGGAGGCUCGCAGCGGUUCUGACGUGCAAAUCGAUCGUCAAAUUUGCGUAUAGGGGCGAAAGACUAAUCGAACUGUCUAGUAGCUGGUUCCUGCCGAAGUUUCCCUCAGGAUAGCAGUGACGAAUAACAGUCUCAUGAGGUAGAGCAAACGAUUAGAGGCCUAGGGACAAUCAUUGUCUUUACCUAUUCUCGAACUCCGAAUAUGUGAGAAGUCCUUGUUACUUAGUUGAA